CACCAGCCCCUCGAGUGGUGGGGAUGAUUAUUUGGCCUAAAGCGUCCGUAGCCGGCCGGGUAAGUUUCCCGUUAAAUCCAACGUCUCAAGCGUUGGACUGCGGGAGAUACUGCCUGGCUAGAGAGUGGGAGAGGUGUACGGUAUUCUGGGGGUAGGGGCGAAAUCCUUUGAUCCCCGGAGGACCACCAGUGGCGAAGGCUGUACACUAGAACACGUCUGACGGUCAGGGACGAAAGCUGGAGUAGCGAACCGGAUUAGAUACCCGGGUAGUCCCAGCUGUAAACGAUGCAUGCUAGGUGUUGGGUUGGCCACGAGCCACCCCAGUGCCGCAGGGAAGCCGUUAAGCAUGCCGACUGGGAAGUACGAUCGCAAGAUUGAAACUUAAAGGAAUUGGCGGGGAGCACCACCAGGCGUGAAGCCUGCGGUUU
rnacentral:rRNA from 1 species